rnacentral:rRNA from 1 species
AUUGAACGCUGGCGGCAUGCCUUACACAUGCAAGUCGAACGGUAACAGGUCUUCGGAUGCUGACGAGUGGCGAACGGGUGAGUAAUACAUCGGAACGUGCCUAGUAGUGGGGGAUAACUACUCGAAAGAGUGGCUAAUACCGCAUGAGAUCUACGGAUGAAAGCAGGGGAUCGCAAGACCUUGUGCUACUAGAGCGGCCGAUGGCAGAUUAGGUAGUUGGUGGGAUAAAAGCUUACCAAGCCGACGAUCUGUAGCUGGUCUGAGAGGACGAUCAGCCACACUGGGACUGAGGCACGGCCCAGACUCCUACGGGAGGCAGCAGGGGGGCAUUUUGGACAAUGGGCGCAAGCCUGAUCCAGCAAUGCCGCGUGCAGGAUGAAGGCCUUCGGGUUGUAAACUGCUUUUGUACGGAACGAAAAGCCCUGGGUUAAUACCCUGGGGUCAUGACGGUACCGUAAGAAUAAGCACCGGCUAACUACGUGCCAGCCGCCGCCGUAA